AUGCAAGUCGUACGAGGGCUUUUAGCCCUAGUGGCGGACGGGUGAGUAACACGUGAGAAUCUGCCCUUAGGAGGAGGAUAACAGCUGGAAACGGUUGCUAAUACUCCAUAUGCCGAGAGGUGAAAGGAAUUUCUGCCUAAGGAGGAGCUCGCGUCUGAUUAGCUAGUUGGUAGGGUAAAGGCCUACCAAGGCGACGAUCAGUAGCUGGUUUGAGAGGAUGAUCAGCCACACUGGGACUGAGACACGGCCCAGACUCCUACGGGAGGCAGCAGUAGGGAAUUUUCCGCAAUGGGCGAAAGCCUGACGGAGCAAUACCGCGUGAGGGAUGACGGCCUGUGGGUUGUAAACCUCUUUUCUCAAGGAAGAAGUUCUGACGGUACUUGAGGAAUAAGCAUCGGCUAACUCUGUGCCAGCAGCCGCGGUAAUACAGAGGAUGCAAGCGUUAUCCGGAAUCACUGGGCAUAAAGCGUCUGUAGGUGGUUUGGUAAGUCUGCUGUUAAAGACUGGGGCUCAACCCCAGAAAAGCAGUGGAAACUGCCAGACUUGAGUGUGGUAGAGGUAAAGGGAAUUCCUAGUGUAGCGGUGAAAUGCGUAGAUAUUAGGAAGAACACCAAUGGCGAAGGCACUUUACUGGGCCAUAACUGACACUGAGAGACGACAGCUAGGGGAGCAAAUGGGAUUAGAUACCCCAGUAGUCCUAGCCGUAAACGAUGGAUACUAGAUGUUGCACGUAUUAACCCGUGCAGUAUCGUAGCU
rnacentral:rRNA from 1 species